UAAGGAGGGACUAAAAACAGAGUAUACUG
rnacentral:piRNA from 1 species